rnacentral:rRNA from 1 species
CCUACGGGAGGCAGCAGUGAGGAAUAUUGGUCAAUGUGCGAGAGCCUGAACCAGCCAAGUCGCGUGAGGGAAGACGGUCCUAUGGAUUGUCAACCUCUUUUGCCGGGGAGCAAAAAGCGGUACGUGUACCGCAUCGAGAGUACCCGGAGAAAAAGCAUCGGCUAACACCGUGCCAGCAGCCGCGGUAAUCCGGAGGAUGCGAGCGUUAUCCGGAUUUAUGGGGUUUAAAGGGUGCGCAGGCGGCGAGUUCAGUCAGCGGUAAACUUUCGGGGCUCAACCCCGACAAGCCGUUGAAACUGGCUUGCUAGUGUGGGCGAGAAGUAUGCGGAAUGCGUGGUGUAGCGGUGAAAUGCAUAGAUAUCACGCAGAACUCCGAUUGCGAAGGCAGCAUACCGGCGCCCAACUGACGCUCAGGCACGAAAGCGUGGGUAUCGAACAGGAUUAGAUACCCCUGUAGUC